rnacentral:pre_miRNA from 1 species
UAUAUACUCCCUCCAUCCCAAAAUUCUUGUCUUAAAUUUGUCUACAUAUAAAUGUAUCUAGUCGCGUUUUAGUAUUUAGGUACAUUCAUUUCUAGCUAAAUCUGAGACAAGAAUUUUGGGACAGAGGGAGUAUAAG